GGACUGAGACCCGGCCCAGAUUCCUACGGGAGGCAGCAGUGGGGAAUAUUGCCCAAUGGGCGAAAGCCUGAUGCAGCGACGCCACCUGAGGGAUGACGGCCUUCGGGUUGUAAACCUCUUUCAGCAGGGAAGAAGCGAAAGUGACGGUACCUGCAGAAGAAGCGCCGGCUAACUACGUGCCAGCAGCCGCGGUAAUACGUAGGGCGCAAGCGUUGUCCGGAAUUAUUGGGCGUAAAGAGCUCGUAGGCGGUCUGUCGCGUCUGGUGUGAAAUCCCAUGGCUCAACUGUGGGCUUGCAUCGGGUACGGGCAGACUAGAGUGCUGUAGGGGAGACUGGAAUUCCUGGUGUAGCGGUGGAAUGCGCAGAUAUCAGGAGGAACACCGAUGGCGAAGGCAGGUCUCUGGGCAGUUACUGACGCUGAGGAGCGAAAGCAUGGGGAGCGAACAGGAUUAGAUACCCUGGUAGUCCAUGCCGUAAACGUUGGGCACUAGGUGUGGGGCGGGUUCCACUCGUUCUGUGCCGUAGCUAACGCAUUAAGUGCCCCGCCUGGGGAGUACGGCCGCAAGGCUAAAACUCAAAGGAAUUGACGGGGGCCCGCACAAGCGGCGGAGCAUGCGGAUUAAUUCGAUGCAACGCGAAGAACCUUACCAAGGCUUGACAUGUACGAGAACGCGUUAGAGAUAACGAACUCUUUGGACACUCGUACACAGGUGGUGCAUGGUUGUCGUCAGCUCGUGUCGUGAGAUGUUGGGUUAAGUCCCGCAACGAGCGCAACCCUUAUCCUAUGUUGCCAGCGGGUUAUGCCGGGGACUCAUGGGAGACUGCCGGGGUCAACUCGGAGGAAGGUGGGGAUGACGUCAAAUCAUCAUGCCCCUUAUGUCUUGGGCUUCACGCAUGCUACAAUGGCCGGUACAGAGGGUUGCGAUACCGUGAGGUGGAGCGAAUCCCAAAAAGCCGGUCUCAGUUCGGAUCGGGGUCUGCAACUCGACCCCGUGAAGUCGGAGUCGCUAGUAAUCGCAGAUCAGCAACGCUGCGGUGAAUACGUUCCCGGGCCUUGUACACACCGCCCGUCAAGUCACGAAAGUUGGUAACACCCGAAGCUCACGGCCCAACCCGCAAGGGAGGGAGUGGUCG
rnacentral:rRNA from 1 species